AUACAAAGAACAUCAACAAUAUUCAGAUUCUGUGAUGCCUGACAACUGUUGAAAAGCUAUUUCCUUUGACAUUAAGCCAAACUGACAGCUAACUUUUCAAACAGAAACUGUAGUAGCACGUAUGUGAGUUUGUUCCAAUGAACCACUUCAAGUUCUUUAAAUGUUUAUGCUAAAAACUUACCUAUCUACUCUCUAUGCCAGGUGUACCUAUCUAUGGAACUGCAUGCUUCAUUCCAGUUUGAAUGUUUUCCUGACACAGCACACUUGAAAAGAUGCUCUGACUUUGGUUUAAAUCCCAGCACAAUCUUCAGAUGUUAAGCUCAAUACUGACCUGCAAGUCAGCCUGACACUCAGAUUUGCUCCAGGAAGAAAGGCCCCCAAGCAGGGCGGCACGUGAGCGGCUGGUGCAGCCUGACCAUCUGCAGCGGAACUGUGCUGCUGUGUCUCCACUUGCGAGUGUGACAGCUGCCUGCCUUUGUGGGGAACCCACAGACACUACGGCAUUGCUCUGGAACUUUUUGAAGAAAAUCUGUCACAAGUCAACUGUGACAGAUCUGAAGGACUAGUUCUCAAAAUGCUGGUGACUUUCAGCUUCUACCAUGGCCUAAGAAUCUGCAAGGUGAAGUCUUGAUGGCCUUAUAGGAGGAACCCAAAGAGACAAAGCGACCUUCCUCUGACUUUCCUCCAUGCUCUUCCUACACAGUAGAUGCAUUGGCAUACUUCUCCAGUAACGCAAUGGGAGCUGCAGCCCAAACGUGUAUGAAAAGGGAAACGUGGCUCUCGUAACCUCACUGGGAGAAGCCUUCCUGUCUAUCUUCAGCACUCAGUUGUGUUGCACAUCUACUCAGCCAGAAUUACAUGUAUUUGCUGAGAUGUGCGUUGUGAACAC
rnacentral:lncRNA from 1 species